UACGUAGGGAGCAAGCGUUUGUCCGGAAUCAUUGGGCGUAAAGCGCGCGUAGGCGGCCCCGUAGGUCCGCUGUGAAAGUCAAAGGCUCAACCUUUGAAAGCCGGUGGAUACUGUGGGGCUAGAGUCCGGAAGAGGCGAGUGGAAUUCCUGGUGUAGCGGUGGAAUGCGCAGAUAUCAGGAGGAACACCGGUGGCGAAGGCGGGUCUCUGGGCCGAUACUGACGCUGAGGAGCGAAAGCGUGGGGAGCAAACAGG
rnacentral:rRNA from 1 species